AGAAAAGAAGAGAAGAGAAUUGCCUUGUUUAGUUUGGAUUUGUUUUCGUUUUUUGAGAGACAACUGAUUCCUGAUCACAGGGGCCUUCAUAAGAUCAAACUCCAUUGGUUCUUGAACAUCUAUGGGUUUAUCGCUUUCGUUACUGUAUUCAGCCUGGGAAGAAAUCAUACGACGCAGCUUCUUUCGUUUAACCUACAGCUUCUUUACUUUCAUUCGUAGGCAUGGUGGUAUCCCCUUUAGAGCAGAUAGCUUCAAGAAAUCUGAUACAGAAACCAUGACCAACCCAGUCAAGUCCAAUUCAAGAAAAAGCAAAAAUUCUAUAAACCUGAAGAAUUGCAAACCCGACAAUGUAAUGCUUGACAGGAGUUUAUCAUUCAAGGAUCUAGUUCAAGACAAUGGCAGCUCGGGUUUAGAUAGAGAUAAAUCAAUACAUAAGCCAAUGCCAGCUCGUGAACAGGCAAUUUUGCUUUCGCCGAGGCCGGUUUGUGAGCUCGAAGCUGCUGCAGUUAAACUUCAAAAAGUUUACAAGAGUUACAGGACUAGAAGAAACCUUGCAGAUUGUGCAGUUGUUGUUGAGGAGCUCUGGUGGAAGGCUUUAGAUUUUGCGGCUCUCAAGCGAAGUUCUGUAUCAUUCUUUAAUGUUGAGAAACCUGAAACUGCUGUUUCGAGGUGGGCAAGGGCAAGGACAAGGGCAGCCAAGGUGGGAAAAGGUUUAUCCAAGGACGAAAAGGCUCAAAAAUUAGCCCUACAACACUGGCUUGAAGCUAUUGAUCCUCGCCAUCG
rnacentral:misc_RNA from 1 species